rnacentral:rRNA from 1 species
ACGCUCCUAUCAGAGUCUCUUCGGCUCCUCGAAUGAAGAGGAGGAGAAGGAGGAAGAAGAGGAAGAGGAGGGUGCCAUUGCUGAGCCCCGGGAGGUCUCGAAUGACCUCGACCAGCAGCAGGAGGAUUUCCAAGCUGCCCAGCGUGUGCGUGGGGGUUCGGUGGCGGCACCCGUCAGCCAGGGAGCUGCCAUCAACUCAAGAGGGUAUUGGCCUCCCGAGGAGAGCUCUGGGGCUGACCUCUUCUUAGAGCUUCUUGUCGCUCCUCGUGGCCUUGUGGGCGGCCACACUUCUAGGGGCAUCUAUGAACGAGCCCUUGUUCAGAAAGAACAGUUGUUCGUCGACAACGUGGAGGCUGCUCGGUGUGUGCUUCUCGCGCCACACCGCAUUCCCCUUAAGGACUUCACGACUUGUCGUAAGAAGCCCGAGACCCGGGGUGGUCUCUAUCCUGUUUGGGGAUACCCCUGGGUUAUGUUCGAGAACUGUCCCACAUGGAGUUCUUGUGAGGACAUGUUCUGGGCGUGGGUGGAGACUCUCAAGUACUCGCCCACGGAGUUAUGGGAACUCCAUGAAGAUCAGCAGCUGUCCCACAUCCUGGACCAGCGUGAUCUUCGUGUGAGGUUUGCCCACUUGAUCAGCAAGCGUAUGCUGCCAAGGGACAUCCUGAAGCGCGCGGCUUCUAGCGCUCACGAUGAGCGCGGGUACGGUAUGUAUUCAUCAUCCGUACCCCGUUCGGGCAAGAAGCCCCGGACUACUUAUGAAGCUGCCGCCGCUUCUGUUCCCAGAUUGCGACAGCCUUCGGGCAGUCAAUCAGGAGCCGUUCAAUCGGCUCCCACGAGUUCUCGGAGUGGGCAUAACCCCUCCACUUCACGAGGAGCUGUCGCUUCCCGCGACACCGUUGCUCCUGGAGGAUCCGCUCCACGUGGAAGUGGACUUCUCCAUUCCGGUCAAGCAGGGGCGGAGGUGCCCUCGUACGAGUACGAGUACUCGGCGCCUCCCGAGAGCCACUCUCGUUCGAGUGCUCCGACUGCGGGUCCGACACGGGACCCUGAGGUUGACCGCCUCCGUCAACGUCUCCUCGUGCUUGAGAUUGCACUUGGCCUUGGGACUGGCGGUAAUGACUAGCCCUGAAAAUGGAUGGCGCUAAAGCGGGCUACUUAUACUUUGCCGUUAGCGCGAUAGCAUUUAUAAUGUACGCGUUAAUGAGUAGGAGGGCGUGAAGGUCGUGAAGAAGCUCGUGGCGUGAGCCUGAGUGAAACGGCCUUUAGUGCAGAUCUUGGUGGUAGUAGCAAAUAUUCAAAUGCGAACUUUGAAGACUGAAGUGGAGAAAGGUUCCGUGUGAUCAGUAAUUGGACACGGGUGAGUCGAUCCUAAGAGAUAGGAUAAUUCCGUUUGAAAGCUGGGCUGUUUGAGGCGUGGGGUUCGUCCUUGCGUUUUGUAUGCAGCCUCGUGUAUCGAAAGGGAAUCAGGUUAAUAUUCCUGAACCGAGACGUGGAUAAUAUGUGGUAACACAACCGACCCAGGAGACGCUAGCGUGUGCCCAGGGAAGAGUUCUCUUUUCUUUUUAACAAGCAUAUCCUACCUUGGAAACGGAUUAUCCGGCGAUAAGGAGGAUGCCUUGGCAAAGCACUUUACUUUUUGAAGUGUCCUGCGCGCCCACGACAGCCCUUGAAAAUCCUGGCUAGAGAUUUAUUCGCACCCUCGUUCGUACUCAUAACCGCAUCAGGUCUCCAAGGUUAGCAGCCUCUAGUGAUAGAAGAAUGUAGAUAAGGGAAGUCGGCAAAUAGAUCCGUAACUUCGGGAGAGGAUUGGCUCUGAGGGUUGGGCCUAGGGGUCUUUUUGGAGAAGCUUGUGGCGGCCUACGUUGGGCUGCGUCUGGACCUUUCGGGGACCGGAUGCGGCCUGGCGGUCGGGCUGCUCUUGUUGUGCCGGAGAGAAAGGUAGUUGGCUUUCGGGCUGGCUGCUGUUUCCUUAGUGCGUUGAACAACCGGCUCAGAACUGGAGCGGACAAGGGGAAUCCGACUGUUUAAUUAAAACAAAGCAUUGUGAUGGCCGGAGACGGUGUUGACACAAUGUGAUUUCUGCCCAGUGCUCUGAAUGUCAAAGUGAAGAGAUUCAACCAAGCGCGGGUAAACGGCGGGAGUAACUAUGACUCUCUUAAGGUAGCCAAAUGCCUCGUCAUCUAACUAGUGACGCGCAUGAAUGGAUUAAUGAGAUUCCCACUGUCCCUAUCUACUGUCUAGCGAACCCACAGCCAAGGGAACGGGCUUGGAAUAAUCAGCGGGGAAAGAAGACCCUGUUGAGCUUGACUCUAGUCUGACGUUGUGAAAUGACUUGGGAGGUGUAGAAUAAGUGGGAGGCUCUGCCGUCUGUGAAAUACCACUACUCUCAAUGUUGUUUUACUUAUACCCAUGAUGUAGCAUCUGUGUGGCCUCGCGGUCGCUCAGUUCUAGUUGUAAACCUUGGGGCUUUUGCCUGGUGAGCUACGUGGAAGACAUCGUCAGUGUGAGUUUGGCUGAGGCGGCACAUCUGUUAAAUGAUAACACAGGUGUGUAAGGUGAGCUCAAUGAGAACAGAAAUCU